GGCAUUGUGGCGGAGUGGUUAACGCGACAGAUUCGAAUCAAAGUAUCUGUUCCUCUUGUAGGGCGCAUGUUCGAAUCAUGCCAAUGUCG